rnacentral:rRNA from 1 species
UACCAGCACCCGAGUGGUCGGACGUUUAUUGGCCUAAAGCAUCCGUAGCCGGUUCUACAAGUCUUCCGUUAAAUCCAGCUGCUUAACAGAUGGGCUGCGGAAGAUACUAUGGAGCUAGGAGGCGGGAGAGGCAAGCGGUACUCGAUGGUAGGGUAAAUCCGUUGAUCCAUUGAAGACCACCAGUGGCGAAGGCGGCUUGCCAGAACGCGCUCGACGGUG